rnacentral:rRNA from 1 species
AUUGAACGCUGGCGGCAUGCCUUACACAUGCAAGUCGAACGGUAACAGGUCUUCGGAUGCUGACGAGUGGCGAACGGGUGAGUAAUACAUCGGAACGUGCCCGAGAGUGGGGGAUAACGAAGCGAAAGCUUUGCUAAUACCGCAUACGAUCUCAGGAUGAAAGCAGGGGACCGCAAGGCCUUGAGCACACGGAGCGGCAGAUGGCAGAUUAGGUAGUUGGUGGGAUAAAAGCUUACCAAGCCGACGAUCUGUAGCUGGUCUGAGAGGACGACCAGCCACACUGGGACUAAGACGCGGCCCAGACUCCUACGGGAGGCAGCAGUGGGGAAUUUUGGACAAUGGGCGCAAGCCUGAUCCAGCCAUGCCGCGUGCAGGAUGAAGGCCUUCGGGUUGUAUACUGCUUUUGUACGGAACGAAAAGACUCCUUCUAAUAAAGGGGGUCCAUGACGGUACCGUAAGAAUAAGCACCGGCUAACUACGUGCCAGCCGCCGCAGUAACAC